GUAGGUGGCAAGCGUUGUCCGGAAUUAUUGGGCGUAAAGCGCGCGCAGGCGGUCCUUUAAGUCUGAUGUGAAAGCCCACGGCUCAACCGUGGAGGGUCAUUGGAAACUGGGGGACUUGAGUACAGAAGAGGAAAGCGGAAUUCCAAGUGUAGCGGUGAAAUGCGUAGAGAUUUGGAGGAACACCAGUGGCGAAGGCGGCUUUCUGGUCUGUAACUGACGCUGAGGCGCGAAAGCGUGGGGAGCAAACAGGAUUAGAUACCCUGGUAGUCCACGCCGUAAACGAUGAGUGCUAAGUGUUAGGGGGUUUCCCGCCCCCUUAGUGCUGCAGCUAACGCAUUAAGCACUCCGCCCCGGGGGAGUACGGCCGCAAGGCUG
rnacentral:rRNA from 1 species